rnacentral:misc_RNA from 1 species
CAGAGUUCAUGCCCUUACGGGUAGAUCUCCCACCCUGUGUUAUUAUCACUUUGUUGCUUUGGCGGGCCGUCAGGCUUCGGCUUGGCUACCGGCGCUCGCUGGUACGCGCCCGCCAGAGGACCCCAACUCUGUGUUUAGUGUCGUCUGAGUACUAUAUAAUAAGUUA